rnacentral:rRNA from 1 species
UGGGGGAUAUUGCACAAUGGGCGAAAGCCUGAUGCAGCGACGCCGCGUGGGGGAUGAAGGCUUUCGGGUUGUAAACCUCUUUCGCUAUCGAACAAGGCCCGCUUAGGGUGGGUUGAGGGUAGGUGGAGAAGAAGCGCCGGCUAACUACGUGCCAGCAGCCGCGGUAAUACGUAGGGCGCGAGCGUUGUCCGGAAUUAUUGGGCGUAAAGGGCUUGUAGGCGGCUUGUUGCGCCUGCUGUGAAAACGCGGGGCUUAACUUCGCGCGUGCAGUGGGUACGGGCAAGCUUGAGUGUGGUAGGGGUGACUGGAAUUCCAGGUGUAGCGGUGGAAUGCGCGGAUAUCUGGAGGAACACCGAUGGCGAAGGCAGGUCACUGGGCCAUUACUGACGGUGAGGAGCGAAAGCAUGGGUAGCGAACAGG